GAUGAACGCUGGCGGCGUGCUUAACACAUGCAAGUCGAACGAUGAAGCCCAGCUUGCUGGGUGGAUUAGUGGCGAACGGGUGAGUAACACGUGAGAAGUCUGCCCUGGACUCUGGGAUAAGCGUUGGAAACGACGUCUAAUACCGGAUACGCGACGCGAAGGCAUCUUCAGCGUCGGGAAAGAACUUCGGUCCAGGAUGA
rnacentral:rRNA from 1 species